rnacentral:rRNA from 1 species
CAUGCCGUAAACGAUGUCAACUAGCCGUUGGGCCCCUUGAGGGUUUAGUGGCGCAGCUAACGCGAUAAGUUGACCGCCUGGGGAGUACGGCCGCAAGGUUAAAACUCAAAUGAAUUGACGGGGGCCCGCACAAGCGGUGGAGCAUGUGGUUUAAUUCGAUGCAACGCGAAGAACCUUACCUGGCCUUGACAUGUCCGGAAUCCUGCAGAGAUGCGGGAGUGCCUUCGGGAAUCGGAACACAGGUGC